rnacentral:rRNA from 1 species
AGUGAACGCUGGCGGUAGGCCUAACACAUGCAAGUCGAACGGCAGCACAGUAAGAGCUUGCUCUUACGGUUGGCGAGUGGCGGACGGGUGAGGAAUACAUCGGAAUCUACUUUUUCGUGGGGGAUAACGUAGGGAAACUUACGCUAAUACCGCAUACGACCUACGGGUGAAAGCAGGGGAUCUUCGUACCUUGCGCGAUUGAAUGAGCCGAUGUCGGAUUAGCUAGUUGGCGGGGUAAAGGCCCACCAAGGCGACGAUCCGUAGCUGGUCUGAGAGGAUGAUCAGCCACACUGGAACUGAGACACGGUCCAGACUCCUACGGGAGGCAGCAGUGGGGAAUAUUGGACAAUGGGCGCAAGCCUGAUCCAGCCAUACCGCGUGGGUGAAGAAGGCCUUCGGGUUGUAAAGCCCUUUUGUUGGGAAAGAAAAGAAGCAGGUUAAUACCCGGCUGUUCUGACGGUACCCAAAGAAUAAGCACCGGCUAACUUCGUG